AUUGAACGCUGGCGGCAUGCUUUACACAUGCAAGUCGAACGCGAAAGCGGGGGCAACUCCGCCGGUAGAGUGGCGAACGGGUGAGUAAUACAUCGGAACGUACCCAGUUGUGGGGGACAACCAGUCGAAAGACAGGCUAAUACCGCAUACGCUGGAGACAGGAAAGGGGGCGCCCGCAAGGGGCUCUCGCAAUUGGCGCGGCCGAUGUCGGAUUAGCUAGUUGGUGAGGUAAAAGCUCACCAAGGCGACGAUCCGUAGCUGGUCUGAGAGGAUGAUCAGCCACACUGGGACUGAGACACGGCCCAGACUCCUACGGGAGGCAGCAGUGGGGAAUUUGGACAAUGGGGGCAACCCUGAUCCAGCCAUGCCGCGUGAGGGAAGAAGGCC
rnacentral:rRNA from 1 species